rnacentral:rRNA from 1 species
GACGAACCGUGCGAACGUUGUUCGGAUUCACUGGGCUUAAAGGGUGUGUAGGCGGUCUGUCAAGUCAGGGGUGAAAUCCUUCGGCUCAACCGGAAAACUGCCUUUGAUACUGACAGGCUCGAGCGGGGUAGGGGUUGCGGGAACUACCAGUGGAGCGGUGAAAUGCGUUGAUAUUGGUAGGAACGCCGGUGGCGAAAGCGCGCAACUGGACCUCUUCUGACGCUGAAACACGAAAGCUAGGGGAGCAAACGGG